rnacentral:misc_RNA from 1 species
UUUUGAUGACUGAUUAAUAUCGGUGAUACUAAUUCCAAAAACUUCCUAAUGCGUCAUUUUUAUAGAUCACAAAUAUCAAGUUUAAGAGGUAGUACUUUUUGCUAAUGAAAGUACACGCUAAAGAUGGAAAUAAACAAGGCAUGUCUUUCUAGAACCUUGUGUCUAGAACAAAGGUGCACACUGAAGCGCAUAAGGCGCUAGAGUUCAAGCUUGGUGAGCCUUGAGAGGCACGCCUUUAAUAACUAUGGUUGUUAGAACCUAUAACUUUCAAAUUUAAAAUUUCACUUAAUUUUUUACAAUGAAAAGUGCACAUAAAACCUUCUCCUAGCUAUUUUUCUUCCACUGGCCAUUCUUUUUCCUUUGCCUUUUCUUUCUUUUUU